rnacentral:rRNA from 1 species
GACGAACGCUGGCGGCGUGCUUAACACAUGCAAGUCGAACGGAAAGGCCCUGCUUUUGUGGGGUGCUCGAGUGGCGAACGGGUGAGUAACACGUGAGUAACCUGCCCUUGACUUUGGGAUAACUUCAGGAAACUGGGGCUAAUACCGGAUAGGAGCUCCUGCUGCAUGGUGGGGGUUGGAAAGUUUCGGCGGUUGGGGAUGGACUCGCGGCUUAUCAGCUUGUUGGUGGGGUAGUGGCUUACCAAGGCUUUGACGGGUAGCCGGCCUGAGAGGGUGACCGGCGACAUUGGGACUGAGAUACGGCCCAGACUCCUACGGGAGGCAGCAGUGGGGAAUAUUGCACAAUGGGCGGAAGCCUGAUGUAGCAGCGCCGCGUGCGGGAUGACGGCCUUCGGGUUGUAAACCGCUUUCGCCUGUGACGAAGCGUGAGUGACGGUAAUGGGUAAAGAAGCACCGGCUAACUACGUG